AUUUUGCUUUUUGUACGUAUUCUGAUGUAUCCAUGAUAAGGGUUAUCAUGGAUACAUCAGAAUACGUACAAAAAGCAAAAG
rnacentral:pre_miRNA from 11 species